AUUGAACGCUGGCGGCAGGCCUAACACAUGCAAGUCGAGCGAACCUAGCUUGCUAGGUGAGCGGCGAACGGGUGAGUAACGCGUAGGAAUCUGCCUGGUAGUGGGGGACAACGUUCCGAAAGGAACGCUAAUACCGCAUACGCCCUACGGGGGAAAGUGGGGGAUCUUCGGACCUCACGCUAUCAGAUGAGCCUGCGUCGGAUUAGCUAGUUGGUAGGGUAAAGGCCUACCAAGGCGACGAUCCGUAACUGGGCUGAGAGGAUGAUCAGUCACACCGGAACUGAGACACGGUCCGGACUCCUACGGGAGGCAGCAGUGGGGAAUAUUGGACAAUGGGGGCAACCCUGAUCCAGCCAUGCCGCGUGUGUGAAGAAGGCCUUCGGGUUGUAAAGCACUUUAGGUCGGGAGGAAGGUUCGCUGGCUAAUAUCCAGCGGAAUUGACGUUACCGACAGAAUAAGCACCGGCUAACCCCGUGCCAGCAGCCGCCGUAA
rnacentral:rRNA from 1 species